rnacentral:lncRNA from 1 species
CUGAGAUCAGGACAUCUCGCACUGAUGAAUAUCUCUUCAUUGCCUCUGUGCACUUCCCCAUUGACUGACCGCUGUGCCCGGCCUUACACCCGUGCUGCACACACGCCGCCCUUUUGUUCUGUUUGUGCUGAGUAUAAUGGAACCUGCGUCCUUGCCUGAGAUCUCAAAGGCUUUCUGUAAUUAAACGCUUAAGAGGUAGCCAUGGUAUGGAGGACAGUCUGACUAACCCUAUGUGACCCUUCCAACCUGGAUGGACCUUCAUCUAUCAAGUUCCACAUCCUUGUACCUUGUAUAAAGACACCUUGGAGGGUGAGAGGCCCUGAUCAACACCUUGGUCACUGCACAAGUACAGAGGAAGGAUCAGUCACAGACAGCAGGCAAAUCUUAACACCGCUGGAAAAGGGAUACCGAGCAACCUUGUUUGGCCAGCAUUGCAGGAGCAGAAAGUCUACAGUGACAGAGGCAAUGGAGUCUCCUGAGACUUGCAAAAACUGGUCACUGCUGUGUGUAGGUGUGCAUUUAAUUGCACCCUGAGGUAUCAGCCUUCUUCCAACAGAGGUCUGGGCUCUCCUCAGUACCAAAAUGGGCCUCUUACAGUCAGCUGGCAUAUCUGUUCUCUAGCCCGCUUCAGGGUUGCUCUUAAGUUACACUGAGGCUGAAAUUGGAGGGACGAAGAUAUCUGGCACAAGACACAGCAAGAAAACAUCAUCUGGGCUAAGAGAAGAUUUAUUAAAGGAAUGCCUUUCAAAGACCAUCAAAAGGCAUCUCAUUGGUAUGUAACGGUAAGUAUUUAAGGAGUAAGAAUAGUUAUGUAUCAAAUGAAAUAAACG